UGUACCAAACUUUAUUCGUACCAAAUUUCAUUUAAUUAUUGAAAAUAACAUUGAUACAGAUAGUCAUACCUAUUGAUUGAAAUUUUGUAUACUUUAUAGAUUACACAGUCAAUAAUGAACUAUGAGUGAAGACCUGUAUGAGUAUAAUUCUGAAGGAACUGAUGGCAGUGAUGCAGUUAUAGAGAUUUCAGAUUCGGACGAAACUUUGCCGCCAUCUGACAAAGAAACAUAGCCACCUCUGGAGGAAUGUGGUCAGGAAGUUGUAUGAUCCCAGUCACCAUUAGAAUAUUUUGAUUAUUAUUUUUAUAUUCCAUCCUAUGGUAAUCGGAGACUAAGAAAACAGUGUAGACAAAUG